GAUUUGUCAUUUAGAACUUAAGAAGAUCACUUGAAAGAAAACUCAAGUGACGAUGAUGAUGAUGACGAUGACUUAGCACUUAUAACAAGAAAAUUCAAAAAAUUCAUAAGAAGAAACAAAACUAAAAACAAAAAUGAACUAAAAAAAGACCAAAUUAUUUGCUACGAAUGCAAGAAGCCGAGACACUUCAAAAGUGAAUAUCCC
rnacentral:lncRNA from 1 species